rnacentral:rRNA from 1 species
GACGAACGCUGGCGGCGGGCUUAACACAUGCAAGUCGAACGGAAAGACACUGCUAGUUUGGUGUUCUCGAGGGGCGAACGGGUGAGGAACACGUGAGUAACCGGCCCUUGACUUUGGGAUAGCUUCAGGAAAGUGGGGCUAAGAUCGUAUAGGAUCUCCUCUUGCAGGGAGAGGGGGGGAAAUUCGCGGCUGUUGGGGAUGGACUCGCGGCUUAUCAGCUUGUUGGUUGGGUAGUUGCUUACCAAGGCUGUGAAGGGUAGCCGGCCUGAGAGGGUGGACGGCGACAUUGCGACUGAGAUACGGACCAGACUCGUACGGGAGGCAGCAGUGGGGAAUAUUGCACAAUGGGAGGACGUCUGAUGAAGCAACGCCGCGUGCGUGAUGACGGCUUUCGGGUUGUAAACCGCUUUAGCCUGUGACGACGCGUGAGUGACGGUAAUGGGUAAAGAAGCACCGGCUAACUACGUG